ensembl:lncRNA
CGCGACUGUCCGCGCCCGCGCGCCUGUCCGCGCCUGUGUGCGCGCGCGCCUGUCCUUCUGUCUCUGUGCGUGCGCGCGCGCGACUGUCCGUCUGUCUCUGUGCGUGCGCGCGCGACUGUCCGUCUGUCUCUGUGUGCACGCGCGACUGUCUGCGUGUGUGUGCACGCGCGACUGUGAGAGUACCUGUGUGUGUGUGUGUGUGUGUGUGUGUGUGUGUGUGUGUGUGUGUGUGUGUGUGUGUGUGUGUGUGUGUGUGUGUGAGUGACCGUUUGUGUGAGAGAGAGUGACUGACUGACUGACUGUGUGUCUGUGUCUGUGAGUGACUGUGUGUGUGUGUGUCCGUGAGAGUACCUCUGUGUGUGUGUGUGACUGUGUGACUGUGUGUCUGUGUGUCUGUGGGAGUGACUGUGUGUGAGAGUGACUGUGUGUGUGUGUGAGAGUGACUGUGUGUGUGAGAGUGACUGUGUGUGUGUGUGAGAGUGACUGUGUGUGUGUGUGAGAGUGACUGUGUGUGUGUGUGAGAGUGACUGUGUGUGUGUGUGAGUGACUGUGUAGUGACCUCUGUGUGUGUGUGUGUGUGUGUCUGUGAGAGUGACUGUGUGAGAGUGACUGUGUGUCUGUGAGAGUGACUGUGUGAGAGUGACUGUGUGUGUCUGUGCGAGUGACUGUGUGUGUCUGUGCGAGUGACUGUGUGUGUCUGUGCGAGUGACUGUGUGUGUCUGUGCGAGUGACUGUGUGUGUCUGUGCGAGUGACUGUGUGUGUCUGUGCGAGUGACUGUGUGUGUCUGUGCGAGUGACUGUGUGUCUGUGCGAGUGACUGUGUGUCUGUGCGAGUGACUGUGUGUGUCUGUGCGAGUGACUGUGUGUCUGUGCGAGUGACUGUGUGUGUCUGUGCGAGUGACUGUGUGUCUGUGCGAGUGACUGUGUGUGCUGUCUGCGAGUGACUGUGUGUGUCUGUGCGAGUGACUGUGUGUGUCUGUGCGAGUGACUGUGUGUCUGUGCGACUGUCUGUGUCUGUGCGCGACUGUCUGUGUCUGUGCGCGACUGUCUGUGUCUGUGCGCGACUGUCUGUGUCUGUGCGCGACUGUCUGUGUCUGUGCGCGACUGUCCGUCUGUCUCUGUGUGCACGCGCGACUGUGAGAGUACCUCUGUGUGUGUCCGUGAGAGUACCUGUGUGUGUGUCCGUGAGACUACCUCUGUGUGUGUCCGUGAGAGAGUACCU